GUGCCAGCCGCCGCGGUAAUACCGGCAGCCCGAGUGAUGGCCGAUCUUAUUGGGCCUAAAGCGUCCGUAGCUGGCUGCGCAAGUCCGUCGGGAAAUCCACUCGCCCAACGAGUGGGCGUCCGACGGAAACUGCACAGCUUGGGACCGGAAGGCUCGAAGGGUACGUUCGGGGUAGGAGUGAAAUCCCGUAAUCCUGGACGGACCGCCGGUGGCGAAAGCGCCUCGGAAGAACGGACUCGACAGUGAGGGACGAAAGCUAGGGUCUCGAACCGGAUUAGAAACCCUAGUAGUCC
rnacentral:rRNA from 1 species